rnacentral:rRNA from 1 species
GAGACACUGCCCAGACUCCUACGGGAGGCUGCAGUCGAGAAUCUUUCGCAAUGGACGAAAGUCUGACGAAGCGACGCCGCGUGUGUGAUGAAGGCUCUAGGGUUGUAAAGCACUUUCGCCUGGGAAUAAGAGAGAUUGGCUAAUAUCCAAUUGAUUUGAGCGUACCAGG